rnacentral:rRNA from 1 species
UGCGUAGGCGGACUAAUAAGUCAGUGGUGAAAUCUUGCAGCUUAACUGUAAAACUGCCAUUGAUACUGUUAGUCUUGAAUUUAGUUGAGGUAGGCGGAAUGUAUUGUGUAGCGGUGAAAUGCAUAGAUAUAAUACAGAACACCGAUUGCGAAGGCAGCUUACUAAGCUAUAAUUGACGCUGAUGCACGAAAGCGUGGGGAGCGAACAGGAUUAGAUACCCUGGUAGUCC